rnacentral:rRNA from 1 species
UACAGAGGUCCCAAGCGUUGUUCGGAUUCACUGGGCGUAAAGGGUGCGUAGGCGGUCGGGUAAGUCUGGUGUGAAAUCUCACAGCUUAACUGUGAAACUGCAUUGGAUACUAUUCGGCUUGAGAGUUGGAGGGGGGACUGGAAUCCUUGGUGUAGCAGUGAAAUGCGUAGAUAUCAAGAGGAACACCAGUGGCGAAGGCGAGUCCCUGGACAACUUCUGACGCUGAGGCACGAAAGCUAGGGGAGCAAACAGG